rnacentral:rRNA from 1 species
CCCCAUGGCACCACACCACUGCAUGGUGGCGUGGUUAAAGGUUACGGUAAGAGAUGGGCAUGCGUCCUAUUAGCUGGAUGGUGUGGUAACGGCACACCAUGGCAACGAUAGGUAGGGGCCCUGAGAGGGGGAUCCCCCACACUGGUACUGAGACACGGACCAGACUCCUACGGGAGGCAGCAGUGAGGAAUAUUGGACAAUGGGCGGAAGCCUGAUCCAGCCAUGCCGCGUGCAGGAAGACUGCCCUAUGGGUUGUAAACUGCUUUUAUACGGGAAGAAACCGCCCUACGUGUAGGGCUCUGACGGUACCGUAAGAAUAAGGAUCGGCUAACUCCGUGCCAGCAGCCGCGGUAAUACGGAGGAUCCAAGCGUUAUCCGGAAUCAUUGGGUUUAAAGGGUCCGUAGGUGGAAGGUUAAGUCAGAGGUGAAAUCCUGCAGCUCAACUGUAGAAUUGCCUUUGAUACUGGCUUUCUUGAAUUACUGUGAAGUAGCUAGAAUAUGUAGUGUAGCGGUGAAAUGCAUAGAUAUUACAUAGAAUACCGAUUGCGAAGGCAGGUUACUAACAGUACAUUGACACUGAUGGACGAAAGCGUGGGUAGCGAACGGGAUUAGAUACCCCGGUAGUCCACGCCGUAAACGAUGGAUACUAGCUGUCCGGCUUCGGCUGGGUGGCUAAGCGAAAGUGAUAAGUAUCCCACCUGGGGAGUACGUUCGCAAGAAUGA